UACGUAGGGGGCGAGCGUUACCCGGAUUUACUGGGCGUAAAGCGCGUGUAGGCGGCUGGUCAAGCGUGGUGUGAAAUCUCCGGGCUCAACCCGGAAACUGCAUUGCGAACUGACCUAGCUGGAGUGCAGGAGAGGGCAGCGGAAUUCCCGGUGUAGCGGUGAAAUGCGUAGAUAUCGGGAAGAACACCAGUGGCGAAGGCGGCUUCCUGGCCUGUUCUUGACGCUGAGGCGCGAAAGCUAGGGGAGCAAACGGG
rnacentral:rRNA from 1 species